GGAAUGCGAUAAGUAAUGUGAAUUGCAGAAUUCAGUGAAUCAUCGAAUCUUUGAACGCACCUUGCGCUCCUUGGUAUUCCUUGGAGCAUGCCUGUUUGAGUAUCAUGAAAUCUUCAAAGUAAAUCUUUUGUUAACUCAAUUGGUUUCUACUUUGGUAUUGGAGGUCUUUGCAGCUUCACACCUGCUCCUCUUUGUUCAUUAGCUGGAUUUCAGUGUUAUGCUUGGUUCCACUCGGCGUGAUAAGUUAUCUAUCGCUGAGGACACUGUAAAAGGUGGCCAAGGUAAAUGCAGAUGAACCGCUUCUAAUAGUCCAUUGACUUGGACAAUACUUUUAUGAUCUGAUCUCAAAUCAGGUAGGACUACCCGCUGAACUUAAGC
rnacentral:misc_RNA from 1 species